rnacentral:lncRNA from 1 species
GAACUGGCCCUUCUUGGAGGGCUGCGCCUGCACCCCGGAGCGGAUGGCCGAGGCUGGCUUCAUCCACUGCCCCACUGAGAACGAGCCAGACUUGGCCCAGUGUUUCUUCUGCUUCAAGGAGCUGGAAGGCUGGGAGCCAGAUGACGACCCCAUGUAAUGGGCCGGGCACGGUGGCUUACGCCUGUAAUACCAGCACUUUGGGAGGCCGAGGCGGGCGGAUCACGAGAGAGGAACAUAAAAAGCAUUCGUCCGGUUGCGCUUUCCUUUCUGUCAAGAAGCAGUUUGAAGAAUUAACCCUUGGUGAAUUUUUGAAACUGGACAGAGAAAGAGCCAAGAACAAAAUUGAGAGAGCUCUGUUAGCAGAAUGAAAAAAUUGGAAGCCAGAUUCAGGGAGGGACUGGAAGCAAAAGAAUUUCUGUUCGAGGAAGAGCCUGAUGUUUGCCAGGGUCUGUUUAACUGGACAUGAAGAGGAAGGCUCUGGACUUUCCUCCAGGAG